GGUGGCUUAGUGGUUAAGAGUUUGGCUGCUAACCAAAAGGUUGGUAGUUUGAAUCCACCAGGUACCC
rfam:Loxodonta africana unplaced genomic scaffold scaffold_22, whole genome shotgun sequence.